rnacentral:lncRNA from 1 species
GGGAUGGAGUCUCGCUCUGUCGCCCAGGCUGGAGUGCCGUGGCGUGAUCUCGGCUCACUGCAAGCUCUGCCUCCCGGGUUCACGCCAUUCUCCUGCCUCAGCCUCCCGUGUAGCUGGGACUACAGGCGCCCACCACCACGCCUGGCUAAUUGUUUUGUAUUUUUAGUAGAGAAGGGGUUUCACCAUGUUAGCCAGGAUGGUCUUGAUCUCCUGACCUCGUGAUCCGCCUGCCUCGGCCUCCCAAAGUGCCGGGGUUAUAGGCAUGAGCCACCCCACCUAGCCUCACUUCUGAAUUUUACCCCUAAGUUGGCAUGGGAACAUUCCAGAAGGCAGAGAUGGUUACUCCCUGUAUGCCAGUGAAUCUCAAGUUAUCUCAGGUAGCAGAGCCUCCAGAGGUCAUGGGAGUUUUCUUAAACAUUUAGAACUAUGCCUACAUUUGACUCCCACCUACAUUUGACUCCUGCCUACAUUUGACUCCCGCCUACAUUUGACUGACUCUGCCUACAUUUGACUCCCGCCUACAUUUGACUCCCACCUACAUUUGACUGACUCCUGCCUACAUUUGACCCCCACCUACAUUUGAGUCCCACCUACAUUUCACUCCCACCUACAUUUGACUGACUCCCACCUACAUUUGACUGACUCCCGCCUACAUUUGACUCCCGCCUACAUUUGACUCUUGCCUACAUUUGACUCCCGCCUACAUUUGACUCUUGCCUACAUUUGACUGACUCCCACCUACAUUUGACUCCCACCAACAUUUGACUCCCGCCUACCUUUGACUGACUCCCACCUACAUUUGACUGACUCCUGCCUACAUUUAGCUCCCACCUCCAUUUGGCUCUUACCUCCAUUUGACUCCCACCUGCAUUUGACUACCGCCUCCACUGGACUCUGUCCUGCAUUGGACUGACUCCCACCUACAUUUGACUCCCACCUACAUUUGACUGACUCCCACCUACAU